ACUCCUACGGGAGGCAGCAGUGGGGAAUAUUGCACAAUGGGCGCAAGCCUGAUGCAGCCAUGCCGCGUGUAUGAAGAAGGCCUUCGGGUUGUAAAGUACUUUCAGCAGUGAGGAAGGUGGGUAUGUUAAUAGCAUACUCAUUUGACGUUAGCUGCAGAAGAAGCACCGGCUAACUCCGUGCCAGCAGCCGCGGUAAUACGGAGGGUGCGAGCGUUAAUCGGAAUUACUGGGCGUAAAGCGCAUGCAGGUGGUUUGUUAAGUCAGAUGUGAAAGCCCGGGGCUCAACCUCGGAAUUGCAUUUGAAACUGGCAAACUAGAGUACUGUAGAGGGGGGUAGAAUUUCAGGUGUAGCGGUGAAAUGCGUAGAGAUCUGAAGGAAUACCGGUGGCGAAGGCGGCCCCCUGGACAGAUACUGACACUCAGAUGCGAAAGCGUGGGGAGCAAACAGGAUUAGAUACCCUGGGAGGUCUGC
rnacentral:rRNA from 1 species